AGGGCUGUAGGCAAUCUAAAAUUGCACAAUAAUUGUGUAAGCAGAUGACCUCAAGUCAGAUGUUUCUGUCCAUGACCGAAGAGUUUGAUAUGGGUGAUGUUCUCAUCGGUGGUAAACAGAGUAGUGGUAUGUCACACCACAUUUUUCACCACUUUUUAUAGAUUUGAUAAAAAAAAUUUGAGGUACCUGUUGUAUGCAUUUUGUAGACUAUUGCACCUAAGGAUGUUCAUCGUUUCCGGAUUCUGGGACUUCUCUUAUAGCCGGCCCAACGAUAUUUGCUAUGCUUUAGUAAUCAGACUAGUAUGGUGUUUGGCUAAGCCUAUUUAAAGAUGUUAGUAGAUUUAUGUUAAUGGAUCAUAUGUUGUAGACUGAGAUAGCCAUGAUCAACCAUGCCAUAGAAGUAUCUGGAGUGGUAAAUCAAGAAUGCAAGUUUGUGGUUUAAAAAUAUGGCUCAUCUAUUAUGGAUAUUGUCUUGAAAGAGUUGCAACCAGAUAAUAUAUGUGGCCAACUCGGCGUGUGCGCAGCCCAUGGAGCAAGAUGCACAAGCUUUGCUCAAUGAUAAUUGGAAGGACUGGAGAGAGAAGGUAGAGAUUUUAUCAGUUGAAGAAGCUGCAUAAUGUCCUUCUAAUCUCGAUUUAUUGUUUCUGAAGCUGUAAUUUACUUAUUGUGGGGGCGAGGGGUGUUUCACCUAAUCAUAUAUUGUAUCCGUGAAUGAUUCUGAAACUGUAAAAUAA